UGAGGAAUAUUGCGCAAUGGGGGCAACCCUGACGCAGCAACGCCGCGUGAGUGAGGAAGGUUUUCGGAUUGUAAAGCUCUGUCGAGCGGAAAGAAAUGCAUUAUGGCUAAUAUCCAUAGUGCUUGACGGUACCGCUAAAGGAAGCACCGGCUAACUCCGUGCCAGCAGCCGCGGUAAUACGGGGGGUGCAAGCGUUGUUCGGAAUCAUUGGGCGUAAAGCGCGUGUAGGAGGCUUGACAAGUCAGAUGUGAAAUCCCGGGGCUUAAUUCAGGAAUUGCAUUUGAAACUGUCAGGCGAGAGUAAGGGAGAGGAAAGUGGAAUUCCUGGUGUAGAGGUGAAAUUCGUAGAUAUCAGGAGGAACACCGGUGGCGAAGGCGACUUUCUGGCCCUAUACUGACGCUGAGACGCGAAAGCGUGGGUAGCAAACA
rnacentral:rRNA from 1 species